rnacentral:rRNA from 1 species
CUACGGGACGCUGCAGUGAGGAAUAUUGCACAAUGGGGGGAACCCUGAUGCAGCAACGCCGCGUGGAGGAUGACGCAUUUCGGUGUGUAAACUCCUUUUAUAUGUCAAGAAAAUGACGGUAGCAUAUGAAUAAGCACCGGCUAACUCCGUGCCAGCAGCCGCGGUAAUACGGAGGGUGCAAGCGUUACUCGGAAUCACUGGGCGUAAAGGACGCGUAGGCGGGUGGGAAAGUCAGGUGUGAAAUCCUACAGCUUAACUGUAGAACCGCACUUGAAACUUCUAAUCUAGAGUAUGGGAGGGGGAGAUGGAAUUAGUGGUGUAGGGGUAAAAUCCGUAGAUAUCACUAGGAAUACCUAAAGCGAAGGCGAUCUCCUGGAACAUUACUGACGCUAAGGCGUGAAAGCGUGGGGAGCAAACAGGAUUAGAUACCCCGGUAGUC